rnacentral:rRNA from 1 species
UACGAAGGGGGCAAGCGUUGUUCGGAAUUAUUGGGCGUAAAGGGUGCGUAGGCGGUUUGGUAAGUCUUAUGUGAAAUCUACAGGCUCAACUUGUAGUCUGCAUGAGAAACUGCCGGGCUUGAGUAUGGGAGAGGUGAGUGGAAUUCCUGGUGUAGCGGUGAAAUGCGUAGAUAUCAGGAGGAACACCUGUGGCGAAAGCGGCUCACUGGACCAUAACUGACGCUGAUGCACGAAAGCUAGGGGAGCAAACAGG